GGAUAUUGAAGCCAAGACGCCAUCUCAUCCUCCUGCAUAAAUAAAUGUUGCUGCUCUUCGCCGCUCGAUCGGAUCUCUCUCUCUGCCGGAAUCACUACCUCGCCUCUGCCGCUGCCACUGCCGAAGGGAAGAUAAGGCCUCUCUCUCAGCUCCAAACAAAUUGAAUAUUGCUAAUUGCGAAGAAGUAAAGGACGAAAAAGUUUGAUGCAGACGGUAUGCAUCGGACAGUGCUUCUCUGUCCCCACUCCCCAUUUCAUUACAACACAACAAUCAUCCACUUAUCAUCAUCAAAUCCUGAUGACAACAGCCAACAACCCCCCACAUGCCUAGUGAUUAAGCUUUGUUUAUGUAGAAUUAUUAAAAUAGAUUGCUUGAUCUUUUGAAUUGCCAUAUGGGAGUUAUGGUAGUUUAGCAGAAAUAUUCUUUGCACGUGU